UCGCGAAUCAGAAUGUCGCGGUGAAUACGUUCCCGGGCCUUGUACACACCGCCCGUCACACCAUGAGAGUCGAUAACACCCGAAGCCUGUGAGCUAACCGCAAGGAGGCAGCAGUCGAAGGUGGGGUUGAUGAUUGGGGUGAAGUCGUAACAAGGUACC
rnacentral:rRNA from 1 species